UUCCCGUGAGGAGAGCAAUAUCGUCUAUCUUUUGUGUUUUCUUCACCUUGUGGCCCCUGAGGAGUUCUUCAUCGUGCAGCUUCUGGUGUUUUCUUCACUGCGGCCCCGAGGAAUUCUGCAUUGUCCAACCUUUGGGGUUCUCCUCACCGUGUUUUCCCUGAGGAGAACUUCAUCGUGCAUCUGUUGGUAUUGUUUUCAUCUUGUUGCCCCUGAGAAGUGCUUCAUCAUCCAACCUUUGGUGUUUCUUUUCUCGUUCCAGGCCCCGAGGAGUUCUUCAUCGUUCAGGUUUUGGGGUUCUCCUCACUGCGGCCCAUGAGGAGUUUUGCAUCGUGCAGGUUUUGCGGUUCUCCAGAGCACGUUGCCCCUGAGGAGAGCUUCAUGGUGCAGCUUUCGGUGUUUUCUUCAGUCUGCGACCCUGGAGGAGCCCCGAGGAGGAGUUUUUCACCGUGCAGCUCUUCCUGUUUUCUUCACUGCGGCCCUUGAGGACUUCUUCAUCGUGCAGCUUUUGGUGUUUUCUUCACCGAGGCCCUUUUUGGCAUCGCCGAUGUCUGCAGCCAGAGCGACAGCUCAGCUGCAUGGAGUGUGAAGAAGCACAUUCUUCUGUUUGUUUUCAGUUUGCCAAGCGCUCAUGUCAUGUGGAGCUCUUUCUUUGUUGUA